rnacentral:rRNA from 1 species
UGCAAGUCGAGCGAACGGAACGCAGAAGCUUGCUUCUCUGAUGUUAGCGGCGGAGGGAGAGAAACACGUGGAUAACCUACCUAUAAGACUGGGAUAACUUCGGGAAACCGGAGCUAAUACCGGAUAAUAUUUUGAACCGCAUGGUUCAAAAGUGAAAGACGGUCUUGCUGUCACUUAUAGAUGGAUCCGCGCUGCAUUAGCUAGUUGGUAAGGUAACGGCUUACCAAGGCAACGAUGCAUAGGCGACCUGAGAGGGUGAUCGGCCACACUGGAACUGAGACACGGUCCAGACUCCUACGGGAGGCAGCAGUAGGGAAUCUUCCGCAAUGGGCGAAAGCCUGACGGAGCAACGCCGCGUGAGUGAUGAAGGUCUUCGGAUCGUAAAACUCUGUUAUUAGGGAAGAACAUAUGUGUAAGUAACUGUGCACAUCUUGACGGUACCUAAUCAGAAAGCCACGGCUAACUACGUGCCAGCAGCCGCGGUAAUACGUAGGUGGCAAGCGUUAUCCGGAAUUAUUGGGCGUAAAGCGCGCGUAGGCGGUUUUUUAAGUCUGAUGUGAAAGCCCACGGCUCAACCGUGGAGGGUCAUUGGAAACUGGAAAACUUGAGUGCAGAAGAGGAAAGUGGAAUUCCAUGUGUAGCGGUGAAAUGCGCAGAGAUAUGGAGGAACACCAGUGGCGAAGGCGACUUUCUGGUCUGUAACUGACGCUGAUGUGCGAAAGCGUGGGGAUCAAACAGGAUUAGAUACCCUGGUAGUCCACGCCGUAAACGAUGAGUGCUAAGUGUUAGGGGGUUUCCGCCCCUUAGUGCUGCAGCUAACGCAUUAAGCACUCCGCCUGGGGAGUACGACCGCAAGGUUGAAACUCAAAGGAAUUGACGGGGGACCCGCACAAGCGGUGGAGCAUGUGGUUUAAUUCGAAGCAACGCGGAAGAACCUUACCAAAUCUUGACAUCCUUUG